CUGCUAUCGAGGUUCGACUAAGCCAUGCGAGUCGAAUGUAGCAAUACAUGGCGAACUGCUCAGUAACACGUGGACAACCUGCCCUUUAGGUUGGGUAUAAACCCGGGAAACUGGGUAUAAUACCCGAUAGGUCUCGAUUGCUGGAAUGCAUCGAGAUUUAAAGCUCCGGCGCCUAAGGAUGGGUCUGCGGCCUAUCAGGUAGUAGUGGGUGUAGCGUACCUACUAGCCUACGACGGGUACGGGUUGUGAGAGCAAGAGCCCGGAGAUGGAUUCUGAGACACGAAUCCAGGCCCUACGGGGUGCAGCAGGCGCGAAAACUUUACAAUGCUGGCAACAGCGAUAAGGGAACCUCGAGUGCCAGGUUACAAAUCUGGCUGUCGAGAUGCCUAAAAAGCAUUUCAUAGCAAGGGCCGGGCAAGACCGGUGCCAGCCGCCGCGGUAACACCGGCGGCUCGAGUGGUAACCGUUAUUAUUGGGUCUAAAGGGUCUGUAGCCGGCCGGAUAAGUCUCUUGAGAAAUCUGGCAGCUUAACUGUCAGGCUUUCAGGAGAUACUGUCUGGCUCGAGGCCGGGAGAGGUGAGAGGUACUUCAGGGGUAGGGGUGAAAUCUUGUAAUCCUUGAAGGACCACCAGUGGCGAAGGCGUCUCACCAGAACGGACCUGACGGCAAGGGACGAAAGCUAGGGGCACGAACCGGAUUAGAUACCCGGGUAGUCCUAGCCGUAGACGAUACUCGCUAGGUGUCGGCCACGGUGCGACCGUUGUCGGUGCCGUAGGGAAGCCGUGAAGCGAGCCACCUGGGAAGUACGGCCGCAAGGCUGAAACUUAAAGGAAUUGGCGGGGGAGCACCACAACGGGUGGAG
rnacentral:rRNA from 1 species